AAGCCUGACCGAGCGACGCCGCGUGCGGGAUGAAGGCCUUCGGGUUGUAAACCGCUUUUCUAUGGGAAAAAUUACGAUGAUUGUACCAUAGGAAUAAGAGGUUACUAACUCUGUGCCAGCAGUAGCGGUAAUACAGAGACCUCAAGCGUUAUCCGGAUUUAUUGGGCGUAAAGCGCAGGUAGGCGGGCGUGUUAGUCGGAUGUCAAAGACCGGGGCUUAACCCCGGGAAGGCAUUCGAAACGGCACGUCUGGAGAAUGUGAGAGAUCAGUGGAAUUCAUGGUGUAGUAGUGAAAUGCGUUGAUAUCAUGAGGAACACCCAAGGCGUAGGCAAUCAAUUGGCACAUUUCUGACGCUCAGUUACGAAAGCGUGGGUAGCGAAUGGGAUUAGAUACCCCAGUAGUCCACGCCCUAAACGAUGUUCUCUUGAUUUGGGGGGAAUCGACCCCUCCCGAGUCGAAGCUAACGCGAUAAGAGAACCGCCUGGGUAGUACGAUCGCAAGAUUAAAACUCAAAGAAAUAGACGGGGGCUUGCACAAGCGGUGGAUCAUGUGGCUUAAUUCGUCGGUAAACGAAGAACCUUACCAAGGCUAGAAAUCUAAUUGAAAGCCCCCAGAAACGGGGGCCCCCGCAAGGCAAUUAGACAGGUGAUGCAUGGCCGUCGUCAGUUCGUGGUUUGAAUUGUUCCCUUAAGUGGGGUAACGAACGCAACCCUCGUUGUCUGUUAUAAGUAUCAGGCGAGACUGCCCAGCUUCAAGUGCACUUUGGACAAUUUUUAAUUUCCAAUUUUUAAUUUUGUAAAUAAUGUAAAAAUGUUUUAAUUGAAAAAUUAAUUCAUUAGAAAUUAUUUAAAAAUUAUAAAAUUAAAAAUUAUAAAAUUUACUUUAUUUUUAUUUUAAAAAGUUUCAAUUUUAUUAUUAAAAUGCUUUUUAUUUUAGUUAAAUUAUUAAGAUAUUGUUUUAUGAGUAAAUAUUUAUAGAAAUUUCUAU
rnacentral:rRNA from 1 species